UUUCAAGGUUGACAUUAUGAAACAAUCAUUUAACCAACCAGAGGUUGUGAAUGAUGGACUGAAACUGAAAAUGUUCAUUAGAUGCAUAACAUACGUAAUAGAGAAGGUCUGAAAGAGAGAUUUGAGACACAUUCAGUUUUCUCAAAAUAUUCAGGUGUGAAUUUAUGAAAAGAAAACAAAUCCGUUGUAACAUACAUUAACCGGUGCAGAAAAUACUCAUACCAACAUGGAAUUAUGUUAUUAUCUUCUGAUUUCACUGUAAGAGCUGUUAUUCUAAUACUUUUAA